GCCUUUCAUUAUUUGGGACGUUUCAAAUAAAUCCCUCCUCAUCCCCCACCUCAUUUGAGUCCACAAUGACCAGCAAUCACCCAUACACUAGUUCAAUCCUACACAAUAGGGGCAAUUUACAGAGGCCAAUUAAACUAACUCACGCAUCUUUGGGAUUUGAGUGGAAACCAGAGCAUCCGGAGAACACCCAUGCUGUCUCAGGGUGAAUGCAAGCUCCAUACAGUCAGCACCCGAGGUCAGGAUUGAACCUGGGUCUCUGGUGCUGUGAAUCAGCAACUCUAGCAUUGCGCCACUAUGCCAUGCUGCAUGUACAGUCCAUGCAUAAGCUAAGGUAUAUCCCACCUCCACCCCAUUGCGGGCAUUGAACUUUGUCCAUGGAACUGCUAUACAUGACAAUAAUAAACUUAAACCAAAACCUAACGGUCUUCAAAUUCUGUUCCGGAAAGAAAGAUUUCUUGCGCACAUUGGCGCCGAGAGAAAAAUCUCCAACCUUUGAGACAAAGCAUCACCGAAUUGAUGAAACCAUCCUUCGGGAGCGGAAAAACUGCAAAUGGAAGGAAGCAAAGUCUGGGGACAAAAGGCAAGGAAGGAUUGGGCAGUGAGAACAAGUGGAUAAAAACAGAUAAAUUGAAACACUAUUUAUAAUUUAACGCCAUUUUCUUUCCAUUGAAUAACAAUUCCCAGCUUGAUAAAAUAUUCAUUGUAAAGUUGCAGUAGCUGGAUAGGCCAGGUUUUAAUUAUUAAUUGGUUGGGUAAGGACUAAGUGGAUUAAAUGAUACUUUGCAGAACAACAGUGCCACAAACCAGUGAACACAGGAUUAUUGAAUAUCGCUCGGGUUGUUUGCAUCGAGGUUUUCAGUCCCAAAUUGAUGCAGAGUAAAGAUGACAGAAGAGGCUGCAGUGCGAGUAGCAGUGGGAAUCAAGCAGACGCCAGAUGAGGAAGAUGGAGGAAUAACAUCUGUGACCGUCAAAGAUUUACAAAGUUCAACUGUUUUGGAGCUGAAUGCGGGAGGAAAGGACUACACUUACACGUAUGAUUGCGUCUUCAAGCAGGAUGGGAACCAGGAUGGAGUGUACACAGCGCUGGUGAAGCCUAUGUUGUCCAGAGUGAUGCGGGGGUUCAACGUGUCGCUGGUUGUGUCGGGUACACACGCAUCUGGCAAGAGAAUGCUGCUGGAGGGGGAGCGGAGAGAGGACGGCAUUGUGUACAAGAUGUUGAAGGACUUGUUCACAGAGCUAAAAUCGGAGAAAAAUGGUCGUAAACAGCUCAUCACACUCUCCGAUAUUCAGUUUCACCACGACGGUUCUACUGUGGAUCUGCUGAACCCACAUGGCAGGGAGAUACAGUCCCUGCAACACUCGCUCCUGGGGCCGGUCAUGACAGAGCUGAGUGAGAUAGUUGUAUCUGGUUUUGAAGAUGCGUGGAACUUGUACCAUGACGGGACAAAGGCCCAGAAGCUCGGAGGAACACCCCUGGACAGGUGUAGCACAGUUAUGCUGGAGUGGGAGGAGACCGCCUCCACCUGCGUUCGUUCUCUCCUUCGCAUCUUCGCCCUCUCGUGCGGUCCACAGGGAGACGUGGAGAAUGGAGUCACAUCUCUGGUGGACUUGUUCAGUAAAGGACCGACACACAGACCCUUGGCGACCCUUCUGUGUCAGGCCCUCGAAGGAAACAGCUGUUCACUGUUGAUCUGUUGUCUGACACUUGCAGAGUCAAGGCCUGGAGAGACAGACUCCCCGCUGGCCCUGGCCCAGAGGGUGGUGGGACUGACCAACCGAGUCUCCCGUCUCAGCUGGGAUCACCGGGAAACCGCACGGAAUCUCCGCCGCAGCAUCGGCGAGCUGCGGAAGACAGCGAGCCCGGCUGGUGAACUCAGCGGUCAGGAUGCAGCAAAAUUGGCGACUCUCGUGUGGGAAUUACAGGCCAGUGCAUGCAGCAUGUGUGAAUCCUUCCACUGGGAACUAACGUUCUUACACUAAACAAUAUUCCAUUAUCUGUAUUCUUGCACUAAACAUUAUUCCCUUUAUCCUGUAUCUGUACACUGUGGAUGACUUGAUUGGUGCUAAUGUCGUCUUUCUACUGACUGGACAGCAUGCAACAAACAAGCUUUUCACUGUAUGUCGGUACACGUGACAAUAAUAAACAAAAUUAAAUGAAACAUUCCAGAGGGGUGCAGCAGGUGGAGCCGCUGCCUCACGGUGCUGGAGACCCUGGUUUGAUCCUGACCUCGGGUGCUGUCUGUGUGUGGAGUUUGCACGUUCUCCCUGUGGCCGAAUGGGUUUCCUCCGGGUGCUCCGGUUUCUUCCCACAUCAAAACGACGUGCAGGUUUAUAGGUUAAUUGGCCUAGGUAAAUUGCCCCUAGUGUGUAGGGAGUGGAUGUGAAAUUGGGAUAACAUAGAACUAUUGUGAACGGGUGAUUGAUAGUCGGCACGGACCCGGUGGGCUAAAGGACCUGCGUCCAUUGGGUCUGGCAGCAUCACUAGAGAACAUGUAUUGGUGACGUUUCGGGACUGAAGAAGGGUCCUGACCUGAAACUUUGCCGAUCCAUUUUCUCCAUGGAUGCCGCCUGACCCGCUGAGUAACUCCAGCAUUUUGUGCCUUUUUUUAAACCAAAAAACUUGGUGUCUUUUUCCUUGCGUCAACUACAUUAAACAGACCAUGUUUGUUCAAUAGAUGGUGAAACAGCAACGGUGGGAGAAGAAGCUGGAGAGCUCCAAUGCGAUGCAGAGAGGAACGUAGGGAGUUCCUCAAGAUGGGUUUACUGGAGCAAGUCCAAGAACCGGAAGGUAUCCCAUCGGAAGUUGAGCAUUGCUCCACACAGUCAUUCCCAGCGCUCCUACAGGAAUACAGUCGGAAAAAGGACCAAAUCAGGCGGAUUGAGGACAAGCUGAAGGAACGCCUUUUGGAGUAUCUGAAGGGUGAGGAAAUGCUUCAAAAAGCGCAGGGACCUCAU